UUCGCAAUGCCCGAAAGGGUGACGAAGCGACGCCGCGUGAGCGAAGAAGGCCUUAGGGUUGUAAAGCUCUGUCAGGGGUUAAGAAAUGCAGGCAGGUUAAUACCCUGUUUGUUUGACAAAGGCCCCAAAGGAAGCCACGGCUAACUCUGUGCCAGCAGCCGCGGUAAUACAGAGGUGGCGAGCGUUGUUCGGUAUUAUUGGGCGUAAAGAGCACGUAGGUGGUUUUGUAAGUCAGAUGUGAAAGCCUUCUGUUCAAAGGAAGAACGGCAUCUGAAACUGCUGAUCUUGAGUGUAGGAGGGGAGAGUGGAACUUCUGGUGGAGCGGUGAAAUGCGUAGAUAUCAGAAGGAACGUCGGCGGCGAAAGCGACUCUCUGGCCUAUUACUGACACUGAGUGUGCGAAAGUUAGGGGAGCAAACGGGAUUAGAUACCCCGGUAGUCCUAACCGUAAACGAUGGGCACUAAGUAGAGGGGUUUU
rnacentral:rRNA from 1 species